rnacentral:lncRNA from 1 species
UAUAAUACAAAACUAAGCUUUCUCUUAGCUUUAAUUCCCUCUCUAUUACUCUCUUAGAUCGCAACCUAGCACCCAUAUCUCUUUCCUCGUCCCUCUCUGCUCCCUCUAACCCUAGGCCAAAAAAUUAGUGGUGGUGUAGUGAUGGCGGCAUAGUGGUGGCGGUGGCAUAGCAGUGGCGGCAUAGUGGUGUUAUCCUUCUCCUUCAACCUCUUCCAUUAUUGUCGAAUUGAAGGUACAAAUUUCCCUCCUUUUGAAUUUCCCCUAAAAAUUAGCUUAUAAAUUUCAGCAAACUAUUAAAGAGAAUUAUAGCUUUGAGGGGCAUAAAACUUGGAAAUCCCAAUUUGUCCCGCCUUUUUUUAGUUGACAAACCUAUAGAAAUUCAAAAAAUUAAGUAGCUUGGUGUGAGAUAAUAUAACCUUGACAGUAUUUAAGGGGCCUAAGAAGAGUGUGGUUCUGUGUUCAAUUCUACCUACUGUAAGACAAAUUAUUGUAGGCUUCUACAUUUGCAUAAAAAGAAUUGUUUAGGUGUUCUGAGGUUUUAUCAGGCCAUCUGGUUGGGCUUUGUAGAUGUUACUAUUUUCUUUUAGUGUUACGUUCCUGUCAUUUAUCUAUUCAUUUGAUUAGCAACAGUGUUGUAUUUAUUAUCCCAACUGAAAUUCAUGAUUCCUUGCAUAGUUCUUGUUGGCCCUGUAGGACUUGGUUUCGGGUACAUGAGGUAAGUAAUAUUCCCAAAAUUGGUUUGUACUACUACUUUUUUCUCCUUUAAUUCAGUCUUGUUGUUCUUCAUAUAUAUAUAUAACAAAAUACAAAGAUACAUUUGAUUUGGGGUUAAAUGUCUUAAAUUACUGAUAAAGUCUUACAUCAAAACACAAUAAGAAUGAUUAAGAAAUAUAAUAGUCAAAUGGACUAAUAUUAUAUAGUUCUAGAUGAGCUUAUAUGAGCAUUACAUAUUUCCCAACAAGAUUUUUGAGUUUUUGUUGGGGUUUUUGAGUUUAGGUGCUGUAAAAUUGUUUUUCUUGCAUCCAUUUUAGGUUGCAUAGUUUAUAGAAAGAUUUCUCUUUAUAGUUAGAGAUCACAGAGAGAGAAUAAUUAAUGCAUAAAGAAUUCUUGGAUUUUAAUAGUAUAUGAAGUUUAAAAAUGUGGCUUCAGUUGGGCCAAUUUCAAAUUUUGAAUUUAAGUUGUUAUCAGUAACUAAUUACCUCUAAUUUCUAUUCAGAGGAGGGCUCAUGUCUUGAUUGUAUGCUAAAUUGAAAUUUUUUCAACCUAAACAUAAAUAAACCAUUUUGAAUAUUUAAUUUAUCAGGAAAACCCAUAUUUACCGGAAAUGGGGUUGUGUAAAGAAAAUAGAAUUAAAAUAAAACUAAAUUGCCUAGAGAGAUCUACACACCUUAUUAAAACACAAAAAGUCUUGAUAAAGGAAGUUUUCCCAUGAAUGAGGAGGCAUGGGAGGAAGGAGGGAGUAGCUUUAGGUUAUUAUCUAUUUACGUGUUAUUUUCUGCUGCUUGGCUUAAUUGACCAGCCAACCCAACCCAUAUAAUAAAUCCCUUUGCAUCCCCCCAUGUGUUUAACUUCAAAUCCAUUUGCAUUAAAUUUUCCAUUGUGGUUGGUGUUAUUUGGAAAAUGUUUCAUUCAAUGUAUAGCUAGAGGGCAUGCAUUUAUAUAGGAGUAUAAUGUUAGUAUUGAUAUUAAUGUUAAUUAUAGGGUCGGGGCGACAUGGUCUUCCAAAAUGAUCGUUAGCCUUGAAUUUGAAAUAACUACUCUUGUUAAUGAUAUAUAAGGGCAUUUAAUUAAAAUGAAAGUGCAGCUAACAGAUGAUCUAAUUUUGUUAACAUGGAUGGAUGUUCGUUAACCCUUCAGAUUCUCAAAGGCCUGUUAUGAAGUUAAGUACAACAGCUAAUAUGAGGACAAAACACAAGAGUUUUCCAACACUGAUAAAGUUCAUGAAUCCUGUAUUUGGCAUCAAUUAUUCUCAUAUAACCAUCAAUGGAGGUUAUAUGUAGGGGUGUUAGCCGAGCAGAGUAGCUCGAUAUUCGUCUCGAGAUCGGUUCGAAAAUAUGAUCCAAAACUCAAAUUCGAAGUUGAUUCGAGUCGAAUAUGAUCCAUACUCAUUUUUUGUUUAAUGAUACACGAGUCGAAUUCGAGUAUACCAGUAUUCGCUCAUGUUAGGGUUCGAGUAUUUCAUUUUUUCUCGAAACAUACUCGAUACCUGCUCGAUGGAUCAUAUUCGAAUACUGGUCUGAUCCAUACUAACAAGAUAAAUAUGUGAUAUUUGUAUCAAUCUUUAUAAUUUAUAAAGGGUAGUAUUAAAUUGUGUAAGCUUGUACUUGAAUAAAUCAGUGAAUUGAUUGUCAAUUCGUAUUACAUUCUUUGUAAUUUCUUUACAUAAAUAAAAGUAAAAGACUUUUAUAUAUAAACAUUAGUUCAAUAAUCAAUUUUGUAUGUAGUGGUUCAAUAUUAAGUGAAAUGGUUCAUAUUAAAAACUCGAUUUGAAGGCUCAUGAGUAACUCAUUUCGUAAACGAGUCGAGUACUUACGAGCCGAGUAGGUCCGAGUAAUGAUCCGAGUCGAAUCUGGCGCAAAAUUAGAAAUUCCUUAUCGAAUUCGAGCUCAAUUUUUUCGAGUCGAGCCGAAUCUGAGCAUUAGUGUUCGCUGAGAUUCGACUCGUUUUCAUCCCUAGUUAUAUGCAGGGGUAAGUAUUUCAUACUUCGAUCUAUGACAUAUAAAUAUGAAUAUAAAAACAUACAUUAGUGUCAUUAUGUGAAAUAUUAUCUCCAACAAUAUAUGCACAAUACAAGAAAAUAUGAAAUAUUUCACACUUUGAACCAAAUUCAGUUUAUUGAGGGGUUCUAACUAGCAUGAUCUAAUUAUGUCUUGGCUUUCUUUUUUAUCCCAUUGUCCAGCUUUUGUGAAGUAAGUAAGAGCGUAUAUGCUGUAGAUAUUCAAGCAAAUGAUGAUAUAAUAUCUGUUAAUGUUCUUGAAAACAUAACCAAGGAUGUUGUAGGAAACGGAAAUUUAGCAUCUACUAUUUUACAAGUGAGACUGUAAGAAAUUUAUAUACUUUCUUUUUAUUGUUUGCUUUUGUUUAAGAUCAAUUUGAAAUAUUUCAGAACACAUUUUCUUCUAAAAUUAUUGUGUGUUUGCUUAUCUGCCUAAUCAAUAAUUUACAGAUUCUUUACUUGCUAUAUCAUUGGUACUUUCUUGCUUCGCAACUGUUGCUUUCAUAUUGACAACCUUAUUUACAUGACUGCUCAUUGUUUCAAUUGCAAGCCUUCAAUCUAUUGGCGCUUUUAUUAGACGGACUUCUGUAUUAACUUCUAAUCCUACAAGGAAUCCUUUUGUAUGGCUUUCCAUUCGUUUUCUUUGAACACUUGGUACCUGAUAGACACACGGUAUUGGUAGCAGAUUCUUGCUCAGGUUUGGAAUUGUUCACAUAAAUAACUACUCUUGUUAAUUUCGUCUAUAGAAUACAUUGUAUGGAUUCCGUGAGCUUAAAUAAGUUCGGCUUACUUCUAUGAUUUUUAGAUUUCAAAAUUUUACUUAUUAUUGUAAUAUAUGAUUUCAAGAGAUUAAUACAAGACUAUCUUUGUGAUAUUUGUUUGUGUUGGAUAUUGUUGUUUAUUUGUCUUGGAUAUUUGUUUGUGUUGGAUAUUGCAGGGGUCAUGAAUUGGUUUGAAAACCUAGGAAAAAAAGAAAACAGAAAUAAUUAAUUUUUUUUAAAAGGUUAUUUCCGACGGAAUUGUUCGUUGGAAAUAACUUAUUUCCGGUGAAAAUUCCGUGGGAAAUAACUAUUUCCGACAGAACUUAUUUCCGACCUGCAUAUUUUCGGAUGAAUUUCCGACAACUAUUUUUGUCAAAAAUAAUGUAUAUUAGAUGUAAUAUAUGUUUGACAUUAAUAUAAAAGCAUGAGCUGCAAAUUGGUGAAGUUGAGUCAUUAGUCUAAGAAGCAAGAGCUGUAUAUAUGUGUGGUAAGCAAGGAAGAAGGAAGCUGGAGCUGUUUUCAUUUUAGCAGCGUAGGCUAAACAACUCAUUCAAACUAUUUCAUAAGGAGCAAGAAUGAUUAUGCCUAUAAAACCAAAGCUUCAUCCUUUCAAAACCAGUUCUUUUACUCUAUAUAAAAAUACCCAGCCUCAAUUCCCAGUUCCUUUGAACACAAUCAUCUCAAAUAUUAAUUCUUCAUUCCUGAGCAAAACUUUACCAAGCGCACUUCCUCUAAAAUCUAUGAAGAGCUGGGUUAACAAUUGAUUAUAAUUGGAGUACUAUUUGAGGAGGAAUUCAACAAAAGGAUGUGCAAUUUAACAGAUUUGAAAUCAGUCAUCAAGAGGUAUUUUAAAUUUUAAUUAUGUAAGAAUAAUAUUAUUUGAUAGAUGUAAUUGGUAUAGAAGGAUCAAUUAGUAUAAAAGGAUUCAAGUAAUCAAUGAUAAUGAUACAUUUUGGUGUGAUAGACCUGCUCUCAAGUCACUAAAACUGAUAGUUUUGUGAUCAAGAAACAUCCCAGAAUAUUUUAUGAUUGAAUUCCAAGCUCUGCGGAUAGAAGAGCAUGUCCACGUCUGAAGCUGGAGUGCCACUUCCAAGGCCUAAGUCCAGCGCGGCCGCGCUAGUUUGCAGUCUUCCUAAGAAGUUUUCUACAAGUGUUAAGCCUUUGAGCAUAUGUACUAAGGUCCCUUGGACUCUAAAAUAGAUUCCAUGAGGUAUUCAAAGUAACUAUAAAGAACUGGCCAAGUUUAGCAUGAUGUAAUAUGGGUUUUCAAAUAAAGUUAUAUUAUUUUUAAAUAAAAAGAUAUGUUAUUUUAAAGAAAUGACAUAGAUAUAUUCAAAAGAGGCUAAGCAUGUGUAAUAAAACUUAUCUAGCAGUAAUAUGACGAAUCUUAGCAUGUAGGAGUUGGACAGAGUUGAAAAACUCAGUUCUAAACCUGAAAGGGAGUAGGGCGGUCGCGCCACUCCCAAGCAUAAAUACAGCGCAGCCGCGCCGUUCUGCAGAGCUGCCAAGAUCUGUUUGAUAUAAACUAAGUCAUGUAGCAUGUAUGUAGAAGCUUCCUACGAUGUAAUAUCAGAGUUUCAUAAUCAUCAACCUAUUCAUAUAUGAAAUGGCUCGUUUAAAUUGAUAGUUUUUGAGUUGUUGAUGUUUUAAAUGAUAACAAAAUCACGUGUGCUUGCAUGGUUUUGCAUGGAAUUUGUUUUAGACUAAUAUUAUAUGGUUGUAUAUGUGAACAUAAUUUAAUGGCCAUGAUUGAAUAUAUUAGGUUGUUUAUAGAUCUUUAUAAAGAUAAAAAAGUUGGCUAGCAUAUUUUAUGUUGAAAAUCUGUCUCGCAAUAUACUCGGUUAACCAAGCUAUUUAUUGGAGUAUAUUAAAAAAGUUGGUUAUGCUUAACAGAUUAUUUUAAUUUGAAUUAAUAUCCUUUAAGGAAUAUGCUAUAAUAGGCUUCUAUCGAUCAUAUCUUUUUAUAUCUCCUUAAAUUAAGUAUAUAUGUUUCAAAAUUUUCAUAUCUUUAACUUUUGAAUUCUAAGAUAUUAUUAUAGUUGUUACUCUCAUCUGCUUUUGUUGAAAAUUCUAACUCUUUCAAUCAUUUGAGGAUUUCAUGGAUUGAGUAUUCACUUGGUCGUUGGACAUUAACGUGUAUAUAUAUUCGUCUUGCUCGGCUGUUAAAGUGAUAACUUGGAAAAAACUUCAAUCGAUCUUAUACAGUUUAUCCAAUAGUUUUUCUAAGUUUUUCCAGCGAUUCUUAAAUUGUUUAGUGAUGGAACAUUGAUAUUUCGUGUAAUCAAAAUCCUUAUUCUGAGUGUAAGUCGUGUGUGGCUUGGUCUAUCUAGUAAUAGAUAGGAUCUGUUCUUAGAGAGCUUUCAAGGUUAUAGUGGUGCAAAGGUCUCAGUAGUGAGAUAGGUUGCAGAGGUUCAAAGGGGCAGUGGUGUCCAUUAGUAGAAAGCUUACUUUGAACAGAGAAGUUUUUGUAUUGUGUAUUGAAAAGUUUAUUUAAUAAAAAGAGUCUCCAAUACUAGUUGGUAUUGGACGUGGAUUAGGCCACUAGAUUAGAGGAUAUGAGUUGAACCACGUAAAAAUCUUGGCGUGAUUUAAUGUUCUGUUCUUUUCUUUUAUCUGCUUUAGUAUUCUACAUAAUCAGUUUUAGUUCGUGCUUGAACAUAUACUAAAACAGACAUGGAUUAGCUGUCCGAUUAUAAUAGAUGAAGAACAAUACUAAAAUAGACAUGGUUAACCUAUCCGAUUAUAAGUUGUAGAUGGGAUAUUUAAAAAUUGACCAUUAUAAAUCAGAUUUGGGUAGUUACACCUAGUCACCCCCCUCUAGGUGUGCUUAUUUACAUAAUUACAAUUGGUAUCAAAGCAAGGCUCUACUAAUAUUAAUCUUUGCAGGUUGUAGGGAAAGAUCUUAUGGCACACCUCAAUUUUCAAGAAGGUCAAUCCACAAGUCGGCCACCUCUGUUGCUCGGAUGUGAGAACUUCAACUUUUGAAAGUACAGAAUGAUGAUUUCUCUCAAACGAGACCCGUGGGAAUGAUGGGUUGUUGAAAAUGGACUUGUCCUUCCUAGACAUGAUGAUGGUAGACCCAAGAAUCUCAUGGAAAUGGAUCCUAAUGAAUGUACC